GACGAACGCUGGCGGCGUGCCUAAUACAUGCAAGUAGAACGCUGAAGGAGGAGCUUGCUUCUCUGGAUGAGUUGCGAACGGGUGAGUAACGCGUAGGUAACCUGCCUGGUAGCGGGGGAUAACUAUUGGAAACGAUAGCUAAUACCGCUUAAGAGUAGAUGUUGCAUGACAUUUGCUUAAAAGGUGCAAUUGCAUCACUGCCAGAUGGACCUGCGUUGUAUUAGCUAGUUGGUGGGGUAACGGCUUACCAAGGCGACGAUACAUAGCCGACCUGAGAGGGUGAUCGGCCACACUGGGACUGAGACACGGCCCAGACUCCUACGGGAGGCAGCAGUAGGGAAUCUUCGGCAAUGGACGGAAGUCUGACCGAGCAACGCCGCGUGAGUGAAGAAGGUUUUCGGAUCGUAAAGCUCUGUUGUAAGAGAAGAACGAGUGUGAGAGUGGAAAGUUCACACUGUGACGGUAUCUUACCAGAAAGGGACGGCUAACUACGUG
rnacentral:rRNA from 1 species